rnacentral:rRNA from 1 species
ACUGUAUAAUCCCUGCGGGGGAAAGAUUUAUCGCUAUUAGAUGAGCCUACGUUAGAUUAGCUAGUUGGUAAGGUAAUGGCUUACCAAGGCUAUGAUCUAUAGCUGGUCUGAGAGGACGAUCAGCCACACUGGAACUGAGAUACGGUCCAGACUCCUACGGGAGGCAGCAGUGGGGAAUAUUGGACAAUGGGCGAAAGCCUGAUCCAGCUAUGCCGCGUGAGUGAGAAAGGCCUUCGGGUUGUAAAGCUCUUUCAAUAGGGAAG